GUGUCUCCAGUGUCCCCAUGUCUCCCUGCAGCCUUUACCCCAUCCUUCACUUCCCUGACCUGUAGGCUGUCUCUGUAGGCUGGGAGCUGCUGUCUGAACUCUCUGUGCUGUGUAGCUGCUCCCCUGCAGAUCAGUGAGUAGAGAGAGGCAGGGAGGGAUAUGCUGUAACUUCUUGUCCCUACCUCUCUCCAUACACAGUGACCCCUACUGGCCGGCGCUGGUAUUGCAGAGUAAUCUC